rnacentral:rRNA from 1 species
UUGGAAACGGUUGCUAAUACUCUAUAUGCCGUGAGGUGAAAGGAUCUAUCCACCUUAGGAAGAGCUCGCGUCUGAUUAGCUAGUUGGCAAGGUAAUGGCUUACCAAGGCGACGAUCAGUAGCUGGUUUGAGAGGGCGACCAGCCACACUGGGACUGAGACACGGCCCAGACUCCUACGGGAGGCAGCAGUGGGGAAUUUUCCGCAAUGGGCGAAAGCCUGACGGAGCAAUACCGCGUGAGGGAUGACGGCCUGUGGGUUGUAAACCUCUUUUCUCAAGGAAGAAGUUCUGACGGUACUUGAGGAAUAAGCAUCGGCUAACUCUGUGCCAGCAGCCGCGGUAAUACAGAGGAUGCAAGCGUUAUCCGGAAUCACUGGGCAUAAAGCGUCUGUAGGUUGCUUGCCAAGUCUGCUGUUAAAGACUAGGGCCUAACCCUGGGAAAGCAGUGGAAACUAGUAAGCUUGAGUGUGGUAGAGGUAGAGGGAAUUCCUGGUGUAGCGGUGAAAUGCGUAGAUAUUAGGAAGAACACCAAUGGCGAAAGCACUCUGCUGGGCCAUAACUGACACUGAGAGACGACAGCUAGGGGAGCAAAUGGGAUUAGAUACCCCAGUAGUC